rnacentral:rRNA from 1 species
GUCCACGCCGUAAACGAUGAGUGCUAGAUGCUGUGGGUAUUGACCCCCGCGGUGUCGCAGCUAACGCGUUAAGCACUCCGCCUGGGGAGUACGGCCGCAAGGCUAAAACUCAAAGGAAUUGACGGGGGCCCCGCACAAGCGGUGGAGCAUGUGGUUCAAUUCGACGCAACGCGCAGAACCUUACCUGGGUUAAAUCCACUCGAAUCCUACAGAGAUGUGGGAGUGCCCUUCUGGGGAGCGAGUGAGACGGUGCUGCAUGGCUGUCGU